GCCACUCUAGCUCAACGGCAGAGCGAACGCUUCGUAAGCGUUAGGUUGUGGGUUCAAAUCCCACGAGUGGCU
rnacentral:tRNA from 1 species